UUCUAAUAAAUGUUUACUAUUUUACCUGCCCAAUCAGUCUUAAAAGACUACAAACGUCUUAUCUCUUCAAUUUUAUUUACUUUUCCAAGACGCUUGAGAUUACUCUAGGGCUGCUGAAAUAACUUUGAUGUCUGCCCUUCUCUAUACUCUCAUCCCUUCAUUUAUCGCUUUCUUCCUUCAAUCUGGUUCUUUUGCCCUCUCAGUUUCUGCUUGGAUUUCUGCCGCUUCAGGGACUCGUCCGACCAGGUAGGCUCCUCUACUACUCUUCAGCGCUUCAUUUGCUAAUAUAUGCGCAAGGUUGUUUGCUAAUCUUGGGAUAUGCUCAAACCUACACUCCUUGAAUUUAAUCAGAAGUUGAUGAAUAUCAUGUAAAUACGCACUAAUCAAUGAUUUAUCGGGGCUUUUUGUUUUACAUUUUCUUAUUAUUGAUAAAGAAUCCCCUUCAAUAAUAACUCUUUCCCACUGCAUGUUAACGCCGAUCUGGAGGGUUUUCCGACACGCUAUUGCUUCCGCCCCAAAGGCUGAGGGAACUCUUUGAUGAACCUCCGUACAUGAUAGAAGAACUGAACCCUCCUUAUCGCGGGCCACAACCCCAAUAGUCGCUUUACUUUGUCUACCGUCGUACUCUGCAUUGAAAUUGAUUUUGACUACCUUGUCCACUGGCUUUGUCCAUAUUAUUACAGAUGGCCCAUACCGCAACACAAAAGAUUCGUUGCUGAGAAGUCGAGCUUCGUGAGAAAACCCAGCAGGACAUUCCCGGAAAAGAUGGUCCAUAGUUUCAGUUCCUAAACUACAACGAGGACAUACUGCCGUGUUCUUCAGUCUUCUAAGUAGCAUAUUAGCUCGCGUAGCUAGAAAAUUCUAAGAUAUCUUCCAAACUGUAAUUUUAAUUUUUGAAGGAAGAUCAAGUAGCCAUAGUUUUCUGUAGAAGUCCUUGUAGUCAUUUUGUAAAGCAUAAGCUUCAGGGUUAUUUUCAAUGCUUUGUAAUAGUUUAUAGGCGCUCCGUGUUCUGAACUCACCCGUCACUUCAACGCUCCAAACUUGGAAAUCUUCGUGCGGUGUUUCAGCUAGUGGGAUACUGAGGAUCUUCUCUGCUACAUCCUCCGGAAAGGUAAUAGCUGGGUGCAAUUACUCAUCCCAUGCCCCAUUCUUCCGCAUUCAAAACAGAAUAUUGGCAAAUUUUCAUACUUGAAGGGUAUCCAAACUUUACUAACAUAAACAUUAGAAACAAAAAUACCUCUUCUAAGUGGUCUUUGAACAUCCAAAUUAACUCUGAGUCGGCAGAAAUCUUCACUAAUUUCAGAUCUGAGGACCCCACCAAACGUAGAACUAAUGGCAUGCAAUAAAUCUUUCUUGUCGAACUCUGGGAAACACGAUUCAAUUUUUAUCCAAAACGGGGAUGAAGUUAACUUUAUCUGAUCACUUUCCACCGCUUGGUGUAACCUGUCAAAUAAAAUUAAAUUUUUACGAAA